rnacentral:rRNA from 1 species
UGAGUAACCUGCCCUUAACUCUGGGAUAAGCCUGGGAAACUGGGUCUAAUACCGGAUAUGACUCCUCAUCGCAUGGUGGGGGGUGGAAAGCUUUUUUUGUGGUUUUUGGAUGGACUCGCGGCCUAUCAGCUUGUUGGUGAGGUAAUGGCUCACCAAGGCGACGACGGGUAGCCGGCCUGAGAGGGUGACCGGCCACACUGGGACUGAGACACGGCCCAGACUCCGUACGGGAGGCAG